AAAAAAGUGGUGGAAAUUUGGCACUGCCUCAAAAUGGCCAGGACCUUGGUGAAGAGACAUACAUAGAGAACGCUAAACACACCUGGCUUCAUCAACAAUUGCUGAAGAAUGUGCUACACCAUCAGAAGAUCGUAAGAUCUGUGUCCCUUUUGCAGUCAGGUAUGAAUGUGUCUAUCUUCUGUCUCUUGUUCAUCAACAUGGCAAACCUGUGCUCCAGCUUGUUUGUCGCCGCCGUACUGUUGCAGAGAGAUGGAAGUGUAGGAAAAGCGCUGAAUGCACUUUCCACAAUACCAGUUCAGCUGUACGAAACUACAAUUUAUUGCAUUUACGCACACAUCUUGACAGACCAG